GACCCUUAACUACUUAAUCUGUGUUCACACUCUACACUGAUUACUGAUCACUCCUGUCUGUACACAGUCCAUUUGACUCUCUUUGCUACCUACUGACUUUCCUUUCUUUUUACCUUUUCUCAGCUCUAUUCACAUUACUCUGGUUACACUCACCUUUGCUUCUUUUUACUCAACCCGAUCAGAGGAGCAAUAACUCUAAGGAAAUGCUAGAUGCCUAGCUUCAACUCUCUACGUACUGUAGAAAUCGUAUUGUGACACUUCACAA
rnacentral:lncRNA from 1 species